GCACGUGUGCUGUGCGGCCCUCACGGUGCUUAGGCUGGGUGCAACCUAGAACAGAGGUUCCUUUCGUACCGUACAUCCAGGUUUGCACAGAGCGCUUAUGUCCCUCCUCCAAUCCGAUCUUGCACCAGCUCUGCAGUAGUUUUUCUUAUUAUCCUCAUUUUACGGAGGAGAGGGAGCUGUGGCUUAGAGAAGUUAAGAGACGUGUCCAAAUUCAUACAACCCGUUGGGCACCUCUUUGUCCCGAACACUGUUCUAGGGGAUAGGGUUAGUGAACAAAAAACGCAAAAGCCCCUGACCGCCUGGGCCUUACAUCUAUUAGGAGGAGGAAGACAGAUAAACUAAGUAAGGCUCGUGCAAAGGAGAAAAAUAAAGCAAGGUGACUUUCUGCAGACUUCGGACUCACCAGUGGUGUUUCAUUCUAUUUAAUGUCAUCC
rnacentral:sRNA from 1 species